GUUCCAUCCGAGCUCCCUGAACCCGCGUUGGGGAUCAAUUUUGCAAGAGAUGGGAUGAAGCGUAGAGACUGGCUUUCGUUGGUGGCUGUGCACAGCGAUUGUUGGUUGCUUUCAGUGGCGUUCUAUUUUGGUGCUCAACUCAACCGUAAUGAGCGGAAGCGCCUAUUUAGUAUGAUUAAUGAUCUACCCACUCUAUUUGAAGUUGCAUCUGGAAGGAAAUCUGUUAAAGACAAACCCAGUAUGGAUAGUGGAAGUAAAUCCAGAAACAGCACAAAGAGGUCACUAGAUGGGUCGAUUCGAAACAGCAAUCCGAAGCUACUCGAAGAGAGUUAUGGAGAGGACGAAGAUGAGCACGGUGAUACGCUCUGUGGGAGCUGUGGUGGGAACUACAACGCAGACGAGUUUUGGAUUGG
rnacentral:misc_RNA from 1 species